GGAAGCUCCAUGGGAGAUUCCAUGGCCUUCUAAGUUCUAGCAUCUGAAGUCUACCUGCAUUCUGUGGGUGUUCACCCCUUCUUCCAUCUUCCGACACUUCACUUAUACCAGCCAUCUCCUUUGAACUAGCAUCACUCUUUAUGAGGACCCUGUGAUUAUGCUGAGCCCACCUAGAAUCUCCUCUGGAGAUUCUUAAUCACACCAGCAAAAAUCUCUUCUGUCAGGAAGUGACCAAGACCACCUGGAACACCAAACCUAUCAUGAUACUAGAGCAACCAGAGAGAACACAGUCUACCCGUUCUGAGCAUGUUUAGGAUGAUGGAGAAAAUGAUCUUCUGAGAUCCCUUCUACUGUUACACUUCUAUGAUUUGAAGACUGAGGGUUGAAUAUUGGUUUAUUAAGCACUGGGUCCUAUUGGGACAGCUCAGUCAUUCCUUGACUUGUUUAAGUUAAGUUUAGGAUAUGGAAAGAUGCUGGAAAGAAUAUGUGAAAAAGGAGGAUAAGAACAAAAGUGAGAAGAGGGGUCUGACCACUGAAAAUCUUUGAUGCCAUACAAAAUGAAUCUCUGUAUUCCAGCUUUCUGAAAAUCUUUAGUAGAAACAGAGAUCCUGGACAUCCUUUUUAGACUUGUUUUAAUUCGUGAAAUGUCUUCAUGCCUAAUAGCAAGCAGAAGAAAACCUUGCUCUCCUCUGCUGAGAAGACAAGUUAAGAGCAAAACGACCUAUAAUUUUCACCAGAAACGUAGAAAAGAGGACACCCAGAGUUCCAGAUCUUUGCCAGCCCAUCACUGUGAAAAAGCAAAGUCAACCCAUAAUCCUAUUACCAUUUCAUUUUUCGAGACCUAUAAAAUUUUUCCUUGCUAUCAAUAAUCACCAACAUUUCUCAAUGCUCCAUUUACUAGAUUCCUAAACUUUUUCUAAGACUAGAGAGUAAAUAACAGUAACAUUUAUAGAACAGAAGUCACUUAAGUAGUUUUCACAAACCAAUUGACUAAAAUUUUAGCUAGAUUUCUAAGAAAUAUCGUAAAGACACUGUAGCAGAUUGUGUUAUUUUCUGUAAAUAUUUGCAGCCCAUCUCUUGGGGAAGAUCAUACUCCCCCACUUCACUGAUGUCAAUCUUGGUCAUAUGACUUGUGAAGAGUGAGCAGAAGUGGCAUGUGCCACUUGCAAGCAGAAAUUUAAGGGCCACUGCAGUUUGCCAGUUUCUUUUUACUUCUGUGCUAGACCAGAAUAUUCCAGAUAAGGGCUCCAUCAACCAGGGGUCCAGAGUGAAUACAACAUGGAGCAGCACUGGGACCAACCCAGGAGACUAUGUAGAAUAAGUGAGAAGUAAACUUUUGUUCAUGUUAGUCACUGAUGUUUUGGGUCACCUGUU